AUCUCUUUCAAUAUUUCAGCGCCAUCCUCCCUCCCCUGAGAGGCCCGGUCAGGUGAAAUGUUUAGGAAGAACCAGCCUGUGGUAAGGUUCUCCAGCUGGGGUCCCGCAAAUAAGACUGGACAAUGGCAGAUUAACAGAGGACCAAACAGAAGUUCAUUAACGUGUUCGUUGCACAAGUACACAUGGAAGCGCCUGGAGAUGAAUUACUCAAAAAAGAGGGCUCAGAAAAUGCAACCCCAAACUUCUUUGAACUGAAGAUGAUGGGGUGGAUCUCAGAAGCAAGAAGGUUACCCCAGCCUUUCUGUGUGACAGCUGGACAUAAAGGAAUUCUCUGAUCUACCUUCCCUGGAAGGAGAUCUUAAGACCCUCAUGUGCAGGUGGCUUGCCCUGUACCUGGAGGAAAAGACAGAGAGGCCAAGAAGUACCUGAACAGACAAGCCUUGCUGAGUUCCCUACAGUUUAGUACCAUUAGGUCAUACCUGCUUUUUGUACAAUCACAUUUCUAUAUGACUGUCCAUUCUUCAUAACAUCCAAGCAUAAAAAUACACUUUUCUCUGGUUCUUUGGGUCUUCCUUUCUGAAGGUUCCCAUGUCAUGUAAAACUCUGUUAAAUAAAUUUGUACCUUUUCUCUUAUUA